rnacentral:misc_RNA from 1 species
CCAGAGAUGGCGGGCUCCGGCCCCCCGUCCCCCAACCCUUUGCUGAACAAAACCCUUUUGCCUCGGGGGUAGAGCGUCCGCCGCCGCCCCCGGAGGACCACCGAACGCUGUCUCUGUACGUCGGAGUAUUGAUUAAAUGAAUAA